rnacentral:rRNA from 1 species
CAGUCGCCACGGUAAUACGAAGGGGGCUAGCGUUACUCGGAAUUACUGGGCGUAAAGGGCGCGUAGGCGGCACGAUUAGUCAGGCGUGAAAUUCCUGGGCUCAACCUGGACUGCGCUUGAUACGGUCGAGCUAGAGGAUGGAAGAGGGUCGUGGAAUUCCCAGUGUAGAGGUGAAAUUCGUAGAUAUUGGGAAGAACACCGGUGGCGAAGGCGGCGACCUGGUCCAUUACUGACGCUGAGGCGCGACAGCGUGGGGAGCAAACAGGAUUAGAUACCCGUGUAGUCCCUGUCUCUUAUACAA